UACAGAGGUGGCAAGCGUUGUUCGGAAUUACUGGGCGUAAAGGGCGCGUAGGCGGCCAUCUAAGUCAGACGUGAAAUCCCCCGGCUUAACCUGGGAACUGCGUCUGAUACUGGACGGCUAGAGUAUGGGAGAGGGAUGUAGAAUUCCAGGUGUAGCGGUGAAAUGCGUAGAUAUCUGGAGGAAUACCGGUGGCGAAGGCGGCAUCCUGGACCAUUUACUGACGCUGAGGCGCGAAAGCUAGGGGAGCGAACAGG
rnacentral:rRNA from 1 species